CUGCCAUGUAUUAAAUAUUUAAUAUGUGUCAAUGAUUGUGAAUAUAUUAUUGCACUUAAUACUGUGAAAACAAACAUUUCACAUUCUGGUUGAUAAAACAGUCUAAGGUUUAAGCACACAGUGGCAACAUCUAUGUUUUAACACUUUAAUAAAAUAGCUUCACUGUGCCCACAAUUAAUCAAGUCUAGGAAGCACAGAGGUAUUUAAAAAUUGUUGUGUCAUACAAUAGACACUCAUAAGGGCAGGCAGAUUAGCCCAUUCAGAGCCUGGAAAAGAACUGGGGACAAACAUACUGCAAGAUGCAUAAGAAUUGCUUAAGAUGGACUUUGAAUGGAUGGUUAGGUUGGAAUCAAUCCAAGUUGUCAUUGUAAUUUAUUUAAUCCAGAGCAUCAUCCAGCAUUUUAUUCCACGCAGAUUUUAGGAGUCGAGCUUCAAGGGGACACUGGAUUGGAAUUCUUUAAAAGGGUACAGGCAUGACUAACAUUGAGAAGAGUGAUUACAGCUUUUCAGAAAGAGUGCUGCAAGCUGGGUCCCGUUAGAUUUCGUCUCUGUGAAAAAUACUCUGAUCACUGAGAAACUAAGACAAAGUGCGCAUCUGCGACUCAUUCUCUACAUUUAAAACGAUGUGACUUAAAACUCAAAGAAACUCAUUCUUUAAACUGUCUUCCAGUUGUGAAAUAUUGCACAUACCUGGAACAAGAAUAAAUUCCCUGGACAGUUAGGACAAUUCAGAGGAUAAAGUUGAUGAAUCAGGACUUAAGAAGCUCAAGACUUCCAUCAUCAUUUAUUGAGCCAAAAUUCGCUAGAGUGUGCCUAGUGCCAAACACUGAAACAGCUAAGACACAAUCCCUCCUCCCCAGCGGCCUCUCUCCACUGACUACAAGGAUGCUCAGGCUUUUAUCACCUAAAGAUGAAGAAAGUGAAGCAGAAGUAUAUCACAUGACUUGACCAAGGUCACACAGUAUGUGUUUUUUGAUUUCUCCUUUGAUUUCUUCAUUGACCCAAAGCAAUCUUAAGGAAAAAGAACACAGCUGAAGGUAUCACACUCUCUGAUUUCAAAAUAUACUACAAAGCUAUCGUAAUCAAAACAGCAUGGUUCUGGCAUGAAAACAGACACCCAGAUCCAUGGAACAGAAUGGAGACCCCAGAAAUAAACCCACACAUCUGUGGACAGCUAAUUUUCAACAAAGGAGCCAAGAAUUUACAACAGAGAAAGGGAAGUCUCUUCAAUAAAUGGUGCUGGGAAAAUUGGACAGCCACAUGCACACGGAAGGCAAUUAGACUUUGGGUGGUGAACAUUAUAUAGUCUACACAGAAAUCGAAAUAUAAUGAUGUCACCUUAAAUUUAUAUAAUGUUAUAAACCAAUGUCACCUCAAUAAAAUAAAAUCAAUUUGAAAAGUGAAAAAAAAAAGAAAAAAAAAAAGGCUGUGACUCUGGUUUUUGAAUAUGUCCUUUGUUUACCUUGGCUUUAAAAUAAGUGUUAUCUACUUUACAUUUCAUUAACCCAAUAGAGCACAAUUAUUAUGCAAGUAAAUAUGCAAAAAUAUAACAAAAAAAUCGAAGCACUGGUAAACCAAAAUAACAUUAGAGUUUAUUCUCUGUCU